rnacentral:rRNA from 1 species
ACUCUGGCGGCGUGCUUAACACAUGCAAGUCGAACGGAAAGGCCCUGCUUUUGUGGGGUGCUCGAGUGGCGAACGGGUGAGUAACACGUGAGUAACCUGCCCUUGACUUUGGGAUAACUUCAGGAAACUGGGGCUAAUACCGGAUAGGAGCUCCUGCUGCAUGGUGGGGGUUGGAAAGUUUCGGCGGUUGGGGAUGGACUCGCGGCUUAUCAGCUUGUUGGUGGGGUAGUGGCUUACCAAGGCUUUGACGGGUAGCCGGCCUGAGAGGGUGACCGGCCACAUUGGGACUGAGAUACGGCCCAGACUCCUACGGGAGGCAGCAGUGGGGAAUAUUGCACAAUGGGCGGAAGCCUGAUGCAGCAACGCCGCGUGCGGGAUGACGGCCUUCGGGUUGUAAACCGCUUUCGCCUGUGACGAAGCGUGAGUGACGGUAAUGGGUAAAGAAGCACCGGCUAACUACGUGCCAGCAGCCGCGGUGAUACGUAGGGCGCGAGCGUUGUCCGGAUUUAUUGGGCGUAAAGGGCUCGUAGGUGGUUGAUCGCGUCGGAAGUGUAAUCUUGGGGCUUAACCCUGAGCGUGCUUUCGAUACGGGUUGACUUGAGGAAGGUAGGGGAGAAUGGAAUUCCUGGUGGAGCGGUGGAAUGCGCAGAUAUCAGGAGGAACACCAGUGGCGAAGGCGGUUCUCUGGGCCUUUCCUGACGCUGAGGAGCGAAAGCGUGGGGAGCGAACAGGCUUAGAUACCCUGGUAGUCCACGCUGUAAACGGUGGGUACUAGGUGUGGGGUCCAUUCCACGGGUUCCGUGCCGUAGCUAACGCUUUAAGUACCCCGCCCUGGGGAGUACGGCCGCAAGGCUAAAACUCAAAGGAAUUGACGGGGCCCCGCACAAGCGGCGGAGCAUGCGGAUUAAUUCGAUGCAACGCGUAGAACCUUACCUGGGUUUGACAUGGAUCGGGAGUGCUCAGAGAUGGGUGUGCCUCUUUUGGGGUCGGUUCACAGGUGGUGCAUGGCUGUCGUCAGCUCGUGUCGUGAGAUGUUGGGUUAAGUCCCGCAACGAGCGCAACCCUUGUUCACUGUUGCCAGCACGUUAUGGUGGGGACUCAGUGGAGACCGCCGGGGUCAACUCGGAGGAAGGUGGGGAUGACGUCAAGUCAUCAUGCCCCUUAUGUCCAGGGCUUCACGCAUGCUACAAUGGCUGGUACAGAGAGUGGCGAGCCUGUGAGGGUGAGCGAAUCUCGGAAAGCCGGUCUCAGUUCGGAUUGGGGUCUGCAGCUCGACCUCAUGAAGUCGGAGUCGCUAGUAAUCGCAGAUCAGCAACGCUGCGGUGAAUACGUUCCCGGGGCUUGUACACACCGCCCGUCAAGUCAUGAAAGUUGGUAACACCCGAAGCCGGUGGCCUAACCGAUGUGGGGGAGCCGUCGAAGGUGGGACUGGUG